UUGAACGCUGGCGGCAUGCUUUACACAUGCAAGUCGAACGGCAGCGCGGGCUUCGGCCUGGCGGCGAGUGGCGAACGGGGGAGUAAUGCAUCGGAACGUGCCCAGUAGUGGGGGAUAGCCCGGCGAAAGCCGGAUUAAUACCGCAUACGACCUGAGGGUGAAAGCGGGGGACCGAAAGGCCUCGCGCUAUUGGAGCGGCCGAUGUCGGAUUAGCUAGUUGGUGGGGUAAAGGCUUACCAAGGCGACGAUCCGUAGCUGGUCUGAGAGGACGACCAGCCACACUGGGACUGAGACACGGCCCAGACUCCUACGGGAGGCAGCAGUGGGGAAUUUUGGACAAUGGGGGCAACCCUGAUCCAGCCAUGCCGCGUGCGGGAAGAAGGCCUUCGGGUUGUAAACCGCUUUUGUUCGGGAAGAAAUCCUCUGGGCUAAUACCCCGGGGGGAUGACGGUACCGGAAGAAUAAGCACCGGCUAACUACGUG
rnacentral:rRNA from 1 species